rnacentral:rRNA from 1 species
GACAGAGGUGCCAAGCGUUAGGCGGAAUCACUGGGCUUAAAGCGUGUGUAGGCGGAUAUCUAAGUACCUUGUGAAAUCCCACGGCUCAACCGUGGAACUGCUUGGUAUACUGGGUGUCUUGAGCCAUCUAGGGGCUACCGGAACAAAUGGUGGAGCGGUGAAAUGCGUAGAGACCCGGAGGAACACCAGUGGCGAAGGCGGCUUCCUGGUCUGCGACUGACGCUGUGGCGCGAAAGCUAGGGGAGCAAACGGG